AGGAGGAGUCAAGGUACCUGGAUUUGCACAUGAAAAAUCUACACAGAAGGGGCAUGAGUACACCACAGCGGUACUCAGUAAGUGCCAAGCCUAACCUCGGUCGGGUAGUGACGAGGAAUGUCAGGGCCCUACUAAGGUUAAAUAAAAUAUAAGGUCUAACAGUGUAGAAUAAGAUAGUAUAAUUAAGUGCAACAGUAAGAAAUAACAUAGAAUAGAAAGAACAACAUCAAUUAGAACAGAGACAACAUAAUCACGGAAAAGAAAUAUAACUCAAUACAGAGAUAACAACCGGGGUACCUUCCAGGAUAUCAUCAUGUAGUCACAAUUACAUCGAUCCAGUGGAUCUCCCGUUAUACCGUCCCAUAGUCCAUCAUAUAUAUUCGAAGGAUCUCCCGGGAUCCCAUCCUGUAGUUGAACUAUUAGUGCGCGGGGAUCUACCGAAAUCCCGAUCCGUAGUCCCAAAUAAAAAUACCCAGUACUGAGGGAAUCUACCG
rnacentral:lncRNA from 1 species